GGCGUCGGUCGGACCGUCGCGCCGCGUUUACGCGCGGUGAGGAAAGUCCGAACACCAUAGGGCACCGUGCUUCCUAACCGGAAGGCCUGGGCGUCGGUCCAGGACAGCAAGUGCAACAGAAAACAAACCAGCCGAUGGCCCUCGGGCACAGGCGACGGGUGAAAUGGUGGGGUAAGAGCCCACCGGCGCGCCGGGCGACCGGUGCGGCCAGGCAAACCUCACGGGGUGCAAGGCCAAGCAGCGCUGGCUCCCGGUCUCCGGGAAUGAACGGCCCGUUCAACAGCGCGGGUAGGCCGCUUGAGGCUGUCGGUGACGGCAGUCCCAGAUAGAUGGCGGUCCAGGGCCGGACAGCGGAACCGGUUCCGGACAGAAUUCGGCUUACAGGCCGACGCCUUCC
rnacentral:RNase_P_RNA from 1 species